UACGAAGGUCCCGAGCGUUAUCCGGAUUUAUUGGGUUUAAAGGGUGCGUAGGCGGGUUAUUAAGUCAGUGGUGAAAGCCUACAGCUUAACUGUAGAAUUGCCAUUGAUACUGAUGAUCUUGAGUAUGAUUGAGGUGGGCGGAAUGUGUCAUGUAGCGGUGAAAUGCUUAGAUAUGACACAGAACGCCGAUUGCGAAGGCAGCUCACUAAGUCACAACUGACGCUGAUGCACGAAAGCGUGGGGAGCAAACAGG
rnacentral:rRNA from 1 species